AACGACCAUACCAUGCUGAAUAUACCGGUUCUCGUUAGAUCACCGAAGUCAAGCAUCGUUGGGCGCGGUCAGUACUUGGUUGGGUGAAC